CGUUCCUUUUCAAACUCCAAGACGAUAGACGGCGCUAAGGAGCGCGUCUGUAAACCUAUUCGCUGCAUAGACAUCCUGUUUACCCCGAAGAGUCCCGGAGUUAGCAACAGAAGAAGGUUUUCAAACAGACACAACCGCGGGAGAAACUAAGGAGGAGCAAAGACUAAGGAACAGAUCUCAAGCCGUCAGAGAGAAAGUUCAAAAGGAGCCUGAUGACGAGCAGCUGUGUGCAAACGUCUCCGAGCUUCUUUGAAUCAGAGGCCAGCUGUUAGUUUAUUGUGAAGCAGAACACCGGUUGUUGCAGCGUGGGGUCGGAGACUCCGUCAUGUCUCUCUUUGUGAUACUCGGGCUGCUCGUCUGCAUUCAGGCUCAAGGAACCAUUGUGACUCCUGUGUUUGUGCUGAAGGGACGUGAUCUGCUCCUCAAGCUUCAUGCUGAUCCUCCUGAGGGGGUUUUACUUGUUAACUGGAAAUUCAAUGAAACAGUCACUUUAGUAACAAUUGAUCAUAGUGGACAAUCAAAAGUCCAUGACAAUUUCACUGGAAGGGUUGAGUUUGAUAAAUUCUCUGUGACAUUGAAGAAUGUACAAGAGGUCGACAGUGGAGUUUAUUCUGCUGUAGUAGACACGCUAAAAGGAAA